rnacentral:rRNA from 1 species
UACGGGGGGAGCAAGCGUUGUUCGGAUUUACUGGGCGUAAAGGGCGCGUAGGCGGUCGUGACAAGUCACUUGUGAAAUCUCCGGGCUUAACUCGGAACGGUCAAGUGAUACUGUCGGACUAGAGUACAGAAGGGGCAACUGGAAUUCUCGGUGUAGCGGUGAAAUGCGUAGAUAUCGAGAGGAACACCUGCGGCGAAGGCGGGUUGCUGGGCUGACACUGACGCUGAUGCGCGAAAGCGUGGGGAGCAAACAGG